UACGAAGGGGGCUAGCGUUGUUCGGAUUUACUGGGCGUAAAGCGCACGUAGGCGGAUUGUUAAGUCAGGGGUGAAAUCCUGGAGCUCAACUCCAGAACUGCCUUUGAUACUGAAGAUCUUGAGUUCGGGAGAGGUGAGUGGAACUGCGAGUGUAGAGGUGAAAUUCGUAGAUAUUCGGAGGAACACCAGUGGCGAAGGCGGCUCACUGGUCCAUUACUGACGCUGAGGUGCGAAAGCGUGGGGAGCAAACAGG
rnacentral:rRNA from 1 species